GACGAACGCUGGCGGCGUGCUUAACACAUGCAAGUCGAACGGAAAGGCCUGCUUUCCCUUGUGGAUUGCGGGUACUCGAGUGGCGAACGGGUGAGUAACACGUGAGUGAUCUGCCCCCAACUUGGGUAUAAGCCUGGGAAACUGGGUCUAAUUCCCGAUAGGACUGCAGGGUGGUGCCUGUGGUGGAAAACGAUUUUCUAGUGGUUGGGGAUGAGCUCGCGGCCUAUCAGCUUGUUGGUGGGGUAAUGGCCUACCAAGGCGGCGACGGGUAGCCGGCCUGAGAUGGUGGACGGCCACAUUGGGACUGAGAUACGGCCCAGACUCCUACGGGAGGCAGCAGUGGGGAAUAAUGCACGAUGGGCGGAAGCCUGAUGCAGCGACGCCGCGUGGGGGAUGACGGCCUUCGGGUUGUAAACUCCUUUCGACCGCGAGGAAGCCACCUGGUUGGAAGGGUGGUGACGGUAGUGGUAGAAGAAGCACCGGCUAACUACGUG
rnacentral:rRNA from 1 species